UACGGAGGGGGCUAGCGUUGUUCGGAAUUACUGGGCGUAAAGCGCACGUAGGCGGACCGGAAAGUCAGAGGUGAAAUCCCAGGGCUCAACCUUAGAACGGCCUUUGAAACUCCUGGUCUUGAGUUCGAGAGAGGUGAGUGGAAUUCCGAGUGUAGAGGUGAAAUUCGUAGAUAUUCGGAGGAACACCAGUGGCGAAGGCGGCUCACUGGCUCGACACUGACGCUGAGGUGCGAAAGCGUGGGGAGCAAACAGG
rnacentral:rRNA from 1 species